rnacentral:rRNA from 1 species
UGUGUAGGCGGUUGUUUAAGUUUGGUGUGAAAUCUCCCGGCUCAACUGGGAGGGUGCGCCGAAUACUGAAUGACUCGAGUGCGGGAGAGGAGAGUGGAAUCCUGGUGUAGCGGUGAAAUGCGUAGAUAUCAGGAGGAACACCGGUGGUGUAGACGGCUCUCUGGACCGUAACUGACGCUGAGACACGAAAGCGUGGGUAGCAAACA